rnacentral:RNase_P_RNA from 1 species
GCUACAGGCCAGGCUAUCGCUUUUCUGUAAAAAGAAAGGAGGAAAGUCCGGACAGCACAGAGCAAUGCACCCGGUAACGCCGGGCUUCAUGAGUAAAAUCGUGAACGAGACAGUGCCACAGAAAAUGACCUCAACUCUUGAUCUUUUCCUUUGGAGAAGGACAAGGAUGGAAGGGUGAAAAUGUGAGGUAAGAGCUCACAGCUUGUAAUGGUAACAUUAUUCGCGGGUAAACCUUGCAUGCUGAAAUGCCACAUAAACUAUCGGUAAGGGCUGCUCGCCCGGUUUAUCGAA